CCUACGGGUGGCAGCAGUGAGGAAUAUUGGUCAAUGGACGCAAGUCUGAACCAGCCAAGUCGCGUGAGGGAAGACUGCCCUAUGGGUUGUAAACCUCUUUUGUCAGGGAGCAACGCCGGCUACGUGUAGCCGGACUGAGAGUACCUGAAGAAAAAGCAUCGGCUAACUCCGUGCCAGCAGCCGCGGUAAUACGGAGGAUGCGAGCGUUAUCCGGAUUUAUUGGGUUAAAGGGGUGCGUAGGCGGAAUGCCAAGUCAGCGGGAAAAUCGCGGGGUCAAACCUGGCUCGGCCGUUGAAACUGGCGUUCUUGAGUGGGCGAGAAGUAUGCGGAAUGCGUGGUGUAGCGGUGAAAUGCAUAGAUAUCACGCAGAACUCUGAUUGCGAAGGCAGCAUACCGGCGCCCAACUGACGCUGAAGCACGAAAGCGUGGGUAUCGAACAGGAUUAGAUACCCCAGUAGUC
rnacentral:rRNA from 1 species